GUACACUCCUACGGGAGGCAGCAGUGGGGAAUUUUGGACAAUGGGGGCAACCCUGAUCCAGCAAUGCCGCGUGAGUGAAGAAGGCCUUCGGGUUGUAAAGCUCUUUUGUCAGGGAAGAAACGGUGGUGGCGAAUAACUACUACUAAUGACGGUACCUGAAGAAUAAGCACCGGCUAACUACGUGCCAGCAGCCGCGGUAAUACGUAGGGUGCAAGCGUUAAUCGGAAUUACUGGGCGUAAAGCGUGCGCAGGCGGUUGUGUAAGUCAGAUGUGAAAUCCCCGGGCUCAACCUGGGAAUUGCAUUUGAGACUGCACGGCUAGAGUGUGUCAGAGGGGGGUAGAAUUCCACGUGUAGCAGUGAAAUGCGUAGAUAUGUGGAGGAAUACCGAUGGCGAAGGCAGCCCCCUGGGAUAACACUGACGCUCAUGCACGAAAGCGUGGGGAGCAAACAGGAUUAGAAACCCCUGUAGUCC
rnacentral:rRNA from 1 species